UAGUGAGUUUGAUCCUGGCUCAGAUUGAACGCUGGCGGCAUGCUUUACACAUGCAAGUCGAACGAGACCUUCGGGUCUAGUGGCGCACGGGUGCGUAACGCGUGGGAAUCUGCCCUUAGGUACGGAAUAACUCAGAGAAAUUUGUGCUAAUACCGUAUGAUGUCGAAAGACCAAAGAUUUAUCGCCUAAGGAUGAGCCCGCGUAAGAUUAGCUAGUUGGUAAGGUAAAGCUUACCAAGGCGACGAUCUUUAGCUGGUCUGAGAGGAUGAUCAGCCAC
rnacentral:rRNA from 1 species